rnacentral:rRNA from 1 species
AUGAACUUAGCUUGCUAAGUUUGAUGGCGACCGGCGCACGGGUGAGUAACACGUAUCCCACCUGCCGAUGACUCGGGGAUAGCCUUUCGAAAGAAAGAUUAAUACCCGAUGGCAUAGUUCUUCCGCAUGGUGGAACUAUUAAAGAAUUUCGGUCAUCGAUGGGGAUGCGUUCCAUUAGGUUGUUGGCGGGGUAACGGCCCACCAAGCCUUCGAUGGAUAGGGGUUCUGAGAGGAAGGUCCCCCACAUUGGAACUGAGACACGGUCCAAACUCCUACGGGAGGCAGCAGUGAGGAAUAUUGGUCAAUGGACGAGAGUCUGAACCAGCCAAGUAGCGUGAAGGAUGACUGCCCUAUGGGUUGUAAACUUCUUUUAUACGGGAAUAAAGUGAGGCACGUGUGCCUUUUUGUAUGUACCGUAUGAAUAAGGAUCGGCUAACUCCGUGCCAGCAGCCGCGGUAAUACGGAGGAUCCGAGCGUUAUCCGGAUUUAUUGGGUUUAAAGGGAGCGUAGGUGGACAGUUAAGUCAGUUGUGAAAGUUUGCGGCUCAACCGUAAAAUUGCAGUUGAUACUGGCUGUCUUGAGUACAGUAGAGGUGGGCGGAAUUCGUGGUGUAGCGGUGAAAUGCUUAGAUAUCACGAAGAACUCCGAUUG